CCUACGGGUGGCUGCAGUGGGGAAUAUUGGACAAUGGGGGGAACCCUGAUCCAGCCAUGCCGCGUGUGUGAAGAAGGCCCUCGGGUUGUAAAGCACUUUCAGUGAGGAAGAACGCCUGGUGGUUAAUACCCAUCAGGAAAGACAUCACUCACAGAAGAAGCACCGGCUAACUCCGUGCCAGCAGCCGCGGUAAUACGGAGGGUGCGAGCGUUAAUCGGAAUUACUGGGCGUAAAGCGCGCGUAGGUGGCUUGAUAAGCCGGUUGUGAAAGCCCCGGGCUCAGCCUGGGAACGGCAUCCGGAACUGUCAAGCUAGAGUGCAGGAGAGGAAGGUAGAAUUCCCGGUGUAGCGGUGAAAUGCGUAGAGAUCGGGAGGAAUGCCAGUGGCGAAGGCGGCCUUCUGGACUGACACUGACACUGAGGUGCGAAAGCGUGGGUAGCAAACAGGAUUAGAUACCCCGGUAGUG
rnacentral:rRNA from 1 species